rnacentral:rRNA from 1 species
UACGUAGGGGGCGAGCGUUGUCCGGAAUUACUGGGCGUAAAGGGCGUGUAGGCGGUUUAUCAAGUCAGGUGUGAAAUUCCAGGGCUCAACCCUGGGCGUGCACUUGAAACUGGUAGGCUUGAGUGCAGGAGAGGAAAGUGGAAUUCCCAGUGUAGCGGUGAAAUGCGUAGAUAUUGGGAGGAACACCAGUGGCGAAGGCGACUUUCUGGCCUGUAACUGACGCUGAGGCGCGAAAGCUAGGGGAGCAAACAGGAUUAGAUACCCUGGUAGUCCUAGCCGUAAACAAUGGGUACUAGGUGUAGGGGGUUUAGACGCCCUCUGUGCCGCAGUUAACACAUUAAGUACCCCGCCUGGGGAGUACGGCCGCAAGGCUGAA